GAAAUGCGAUAACUAGUGUGAAUUGCAGAAUUCAGUGAAUCAUCGAGUCUUUGAACGCAUAUUGCGCCCGUCGGUAUUCCGGCGGGCAUACCUGUUCGAGCGUCAUCACACCAGUCAGACCGGCCUCGGUUUGGUGUUGGGUCUCAUCUCGUCUGCCCCGAACCGCGUGGGAGGACGGACCCUAAAUUGCUGUCCCCGGCGGCCGAUAUUAUCACAGCCCGGAACGCGUCGUAGUGCUUUGUAGCCUCGCGGCCGGGUCCGUCGGUGUAGCCGCGUGCAGAUAUAGGACGGCCUCCCCUUCGUGGCGGUCGGCCUAUACAGUUUUGACCUCGGAUCAGGUAGGGUUACCCGCUGAACUUAAGCAU
rnacentral:misc_RNA from 1 species